CGGUCCAUACACCUACGGGUGGCCGCAGUCGAGAAUCUUCCGCAAUGGACGAAAGUCUGACGGAGCGACGCCGCGUGGAUGAUGAAGCACUUCGGUGCGUAAAAUCCUUUUGCCAGGGAGAAAGUUUAUUGAUAGUACUUGGCGAAUAAGAGGUUGCUAAACUCGUGCCAGCAGCAGCGGUAAUACGAGUGCCUCAAGCGUUAUCCGGAAUCAUUGGGCGUAAAGGUUGUGUAGGUGGUCAUAUUAGUCUCUUGUUAAAUUCUUCGGCUUAACCGGGGGCAUGCAAGGGAAACGGUAUGACUAGAGGAUGCGAGGGGUCUGCGGAACUCAUAGUGUAGCGGUGAAAUGCGUUGAUAUUAUGGGGAACACCAAAAGCGAAGGCAGCAGACUGGAGCACUCCUGACACUGAAACAAGAAAGCGUGGGUCGCGAAUGGGAUUAGAUACCCCAGUAGUCCACGCCCUAAACGAUCUUCUCUAGUUUUUCGGAGUAUCGACCCUCUGAGAGACGAAGCUAACGCGUUAAGAGAAGCGCCUGGGUAGUACGACCGCAAGGUUAAAACUCAAAGGAAUAGACGGGGACUUGCACAAGCGGUGGAUCAUGUGGCUCAAUUCGACGGUAAACGAAGAACCUUACCAGGGUUUGAAACCUAGCUGAAUACUUUAGGAAACUAGAGUAGUCGCAAGACAGUUAGGCAGGUGAUGCAUGGCCGUCGUCAGUUCGUGGCUUGAGUUGUUCCCUUCAGUGGGGUAACGAACGCAACCCUCGUUGUCUGUUAUAUUUGUCAGGCGAGACUGCCCACGACA
rnacentral:rRNA from 1 species